GUCAUUACAUCGUCCUCCUUACAUUGUCGAAAAUCAGCUCAAUUACAGCUUAGUCGUCGAGUUGGUUUGUCAAGGAAACAAUGCAAGCGUGGGUGUGUGCUUUACUGUUACACUAUUUGUUGGUUACGUCAGCUACGUCAUCGGAAGAAACAGUAUUAGGUAUCUACUUUGCAUGCUACAAUGUGAGUGACAAUGGAACAAGGUUUGUUGGCCCACAAUCAAUGACUGAAGGAGGAGAAAAACGUUCAGCAUUAGAUGGUGAAAAUAGAGUUUAUUGCAGAAAUACUGACAACUUUGGAAUUGAUGACCGUCUAAGAAAUUAGUUUUUAAAUAUUGACCAGUUGGUUAUUAUUAAAAAUGGCAUUUAUCUCUUUGAGUAAUUUAGUUUUUAAUACGUAAUUCUAUACUGUAUGUCAUGGAUUGUAAACUGUCUCUUCUUUUACUUUUACAUCAUAACACUCAGCA